rnacentral:rRNA from 1 species
GACAGAGGGUGCAAACGUUGCUCGGAAUUACUGGGCGUAAAGCGCGUGUAGGUGGCCACGCAAGUCAGGUGUGAAAGCCCAGGGCUCAACCCUGGAAGUGCACAUGAUACUACGUGGCUGGAGUACUGAAGAGGAGAGCGGAAUUCCCGGUGUAGAGGUGAAAUUCGUAGAUAUUGGGAAGAACACCGGUGGCGAAGGCGGCUCACUGGCUCAUUACUGACGCUCAGGCGCGAUAGCGUGGGGAUCAAACAGG